rnacentral:rRNA from 1 species
CUAAGAAUAUUCCGCAAUGGCCGAAAGUCUGACGGAGCGACGCCGCGUGGAUGAAGAAGGCCGAAAGGUUGUAAAAUCCUUUUGCUGAUGAAGAAUAAGUGCGGGAGGGAAUGCCCGUAUGAUGACAUUAGUCGGUGAAUAAGCCCCGGCUAACUACGUGCCAGCAGCCGCGGUAACACGUAGGGGGCAAGCGUUGUUCGGAAUUAUUGGGCGUAAAGGGCAUGUAGGCGGUUUCGUAAGCCUGGUGUGAAAUCCUGCAGCUUAACUGUAGAAUUGCAUCGGGUACUGCGAGACUUGAAUCACAGAGGGGAAACUAGAAUUCCAGGUGUAGGGGUGGAAUCUGUAGAUAUCUGGAAGAAUACCGGUGGCGAAGGCGGGUUUCUAGCUGAUGAUUGACGCUGAGGUGCGAAAGUGCGGGGAGCAAACAG